rnacentral:tRNA from 2 species
GGGCGAUUAGCUCAGUUGGUUAGAGCGCCUCAUUUACACUGAGGAGGCCGGGGGUUCGAGCCCUCCAUCGCCCA